GGUAAUGCCCUCGGGUUUUCCUAGCUUUGCCCUCAUGUGUGCAGUCAAUUGCCGGUUUUACCCAUUGAUCCCAAGGGUUCUGUGUCGUUUCUUUCUCUCUUUCCAUUCAUCUCUUUCACUUUACCUUUCAGCUCUCCAUUUUCUGCUUUCCUCAACUGGGUUUUCCUUCGUCGUCGGUGUGCACUCUGAUUUCUCUCAAUUUAUUCCUUUUCGUUUUGCGAAAUUAUGUCCGGCGAGACAUGAUCUUUGAUUUUUGCAACCAUUGUUGGCCGUUCUUCUCUGUUUUUGGCUGCCAUCCGUACUUUGGAUCGAUUUCGUCUUUUUCACCGUUUUGUUUCAAGCCUCUCUUUUGAGAGAAUUUUUACGUAUUAAGGGGAUUCAGGUUUUUAUUUUUUUUGGAACUUUUGUAUGCAGCUUUGGAAGACAUUUAUGCUUAAUGGAGAGCAAGUAAAAAGAUUGUAUUCACUGUGUUGACGCAUUAUUGAACAAGAGACCCAAAAGGAAGAACAUAUUCAAUCUCAAAGUCUGUCAGCUUUCACUUCUUAAUUUUAUUAUUAUUAAUUUUGUUUGCUCUUCGAAAUUUGAAUGCAUGAGUUUUUUAAUUUUUUUGCGAUUAGUUUCCCUGAGAUGGGUUUUGGGUAAUCAUUUAUUACUUUCUGAUUUGGUUACAGGAUGCGAAUCAUUGCUUCUUUAGAAAAGAUUAAGGAAGGUGAGCAAUUUCAGAAAAAAAAUGCGAUUAUCAUUUUCUAGAGAUCAUGGCAUGCCCUUCCGUUAUUUUUUGGUGGUUGUAAAAUUAUGACCUGACAGGGAAGUUGGUUUUGACAAGAUUUUU